CUGCCCAACCAGACAUGGCUUGAAUGCGCGGCACUUUUACGCCUGUGGGAACAACCAUGGUGGAAGGUCACGGCCAGGCCGCUUUGUUUGGACUACUUCACCGGCUUCUUUCGUGACAACUUUGCGGCGGAGAAGAGGCGCGAGACGGCGGCAUGGCAAACAUCAAAGUGGCGGUACGAGUGCGUCCACUCAACGCGAGGGAAAGUAGUGAUGGAGGAAGAGUAACACUUCAUGUGGAGGACAACAAGUUUGUGAGGAUACAAAAUGUCAAGCUGGACGGACGCACAGACCACACCUUGGACUCCAGGGAGAAACUUCUGGAGUUUUGUUUCGACUACUGCUACUGGUCGGUGUACCCAGA